rnacentral:rRNA from 1 species
CCCUUAGAUGUCCGGGGCCGCACGCGCGCUACACUGAAGGAAUCAGCGUGGCUUUCUCCCUGACCCGAAAGGGUUGGGAAACCCGUUGAAUCUCCUUCGUGAUAGGGAUUGGGGCUUGAAAUUGUUCCCCAUGAACGAGGAAUUCCCAGUAAGCGCGAGUCAUAAGCUCGCGUUGAUUACGUCCCUGCCCUUUGUACACACCGCCCGUCGCUACUACCGAUUGAACGGUUUAGUGAGGGCCUCGGAUUGGUCUCGGCCCGCUCUUUACCGGGCGGCGCCGUUGGUCGAAAAGACGCUCGAACUUGAUCGUUUAGAGGAAGUAAAAGUCGUAACA